CGUAGUCGUUGAUGGAGGCCGGAAGCGAGGAGGAAGCGGGAAGGUGGAAGAGAUCGGAAGAGUUUCAAACAAGGCCCGAUUCUCCUGAGGUCAGCUCGAUUUGCUCUCUAAUCCUGGGCGACGCAGGGUUCAAGGAUCUUCUGAAUCUCAUCCCAUUGUAGGAACUCCUGCUGUACUCAGAGAAUGUUGUUCAGAAGGGGAGACAGGCAAUAAAUAUAAGAUGAAGUUAUGAGGAGAGAAGCUAUUCAUAGCUAAAACUCUAGCUAAAAUGGCUAUUAUUUAUUGCACGGAACUGAAAUCGGAUGAAGUCGAGAAACCCAACGUACAAACCCAGAAGCUGAGAUACUACACAAGGGGACGUAUUUCAAGGACAAAUCCAAGGGUGUUUUGUUCUGUGUUGGCCCGAACGACUGCAUGUUGUUGUCAUCAUUGCCAUGGAAAGUGCCACUGGAAUGAAAGGGGUUGCCAUCAAUGGGUCUUUUUAUGGUUACUGAGCUGCGGAGCGAACCUGUUUGAGCUGGAAUAAUGGAUACAGUGGAUUCCCCAGCUAAUUCCAUGCAAGUUUAGUCCCAUUUUAUAGUUCCAGUUGCCUUCAACUAAAACAAGAUGGUAACUUUGAGAUUAUUCAUUACAUAAGGCAGAAAAUAAAUCUUGUAUUAAUGCUGUCUAUAGUGAAAAAAAAAAGUAUGCUUUCUGAUACAAAGAGAAUUUGGUGCUGGAAAGAAA